CAGUAGCCACGGUAAUACGGAGGGGGCUAGCGUUGUUCGGAAUUACUGGGCGUAAAGGGUGCGUAGGCGGGUUUUUAAGUCAGAGGUGAAAUCCUGGAGCUCAACUCCAGAACUGCCUUUGAUACUGAAAGUCUUGAGUAUGGGAGAGGUGAGUGGAACUGCGAGUGUAGAGGUGAAAUUCGUAGAUAUUCGCAAGAACACCAGUGGCGAAGGCGGCUCACUGGCCCAUUACUGACGCUGAGGCACGAAAGCGUGGGGAGCAAACAGGAUUAGAUACCCCAGUAGUCCCUGUCUCUUAUAA
rnacentral:rRNA from 1 species